rnacentral:rRNA from 1 species
GAUGAACGCUAGCGGCAGGCCUAACACAUGCAAGUCGAGGGGUAACUAGAGUGAUAGCAAUAUUACUUUGGCUAGACCGGCGCACGGGUGCGUAACACGUAUGCAACCUACCUUAUACUGGGGAAUAACUUCGAGAAAUCGGCGCUAAUACCCCAUAACAUUGCGAAGAGGCAUCUCUUUGCAAUUAAAGCUCCUGCGGUAUAAGAUGGGCAUGCGUGCAAUUAGCUAGUUGGUGAGGUAACGGCUCACCAAGGCUACGAUUGGUAGGGGUUCUGAGAGGAUGAUCCCCCACACUGGUACUGAGACACGGACCAGACUCCUACGGGAGGCAGCAGUGAGGAAUAUUGCGCAAUGGACGAAAGUCUGACGCAGCCAUGCCGCGUGCAGGAUGACGGCCCUAUGGGUUGUAAACUGCUUUUGUACGGGAAUAAACCCUUCUACGUGUAGGAGGCUGAAGGUACCGUAAGAAUAAGCACCGGCUAACUCCGUGCCAGCCGCCGCCGUAACAC